rnacentral:misc_RNA from 1 species
GAUGAAGAACGUAGCGAAAUGCGAUAAGUAAUGUGAAUUGCAGAAUUCAGUGAAUCAUCGAAUCUUUGAACGCACCUUGCGCCCUUUGGCUAUUCCGAAGGGCAUGCCUGUUUGAGUAUCAUGAACACCUCAACUCUCAUGGUUUGCCAUGAUGAGCUUGGACUUUGGGGGUCUUGCCGGCCUAUGGGUCGGCUCCUCUCAAAUUAAUCAGCUUGCCAGUGUUUGGUGGCAUCACAGGUGUGAUAACUAUCUACGCUUGUGGUUUUCCAUCAGGUAACCUUCAGUGAUGGAGGUUCGCUGGGGCUCAUAAAUGUCUCUCCUCAGUGAGGACAGCUUUUUUGAACGUUUGAUCUCAAAUCAGGUAGGACUACCCGCUGAACUUAAGCAUAUCAUAAGCGGAGGA